rnacentral:lncRNA from 1 species
AUAUUGCAGUCUGAAAACCUAGCUAUAUAAUUUAAUUACAAACUUAUUUAGUGAUUAUAUGAAAUGAAGAUAAAAAUAUAAUAGUAAUAACAGUUAUUUACAGUUAUGAAAAUCUAUCUUGGUUUUCUUGAAAAUAUAUAAUAAAAAACAUGUUUGAAUAUGAUGGGUAGCUGCCAUCCAAAGAAAAUUCUCAAAAGUUAACUAUCCUAAAUAAAAUACAUACUUCUAAAAAUCAAUAUGGUUCAAUAUUUUGGAGGGAGGAAUUGUCGUAGAAACAAUUUUCUCCCUAUUGUUUCACUGUACAUUUACUUAAUUUUAUUGUAUCAUAAUGAAAGAUUUGUCCGUUUUGUCUACAGAGAAUGUUCUCUUCAGUUAUAAAAUUGGAGGAAAUGCACCUCUAACGGUGUAACAGCAUACUGUAAAUUCAGAAAUUAUUGAAUGCAUUUAUUGACAUUAUUUUUGCGAUUUUGUCAUUCUAGGCUAAAAUGCAAUUUUAAUUUUUGUGAUAGUGAGAAAAAUCCUUUCAACCCUUUCCUCCAUAGUGACCCUUUUGGAGCCACCCCUUUACUCCAUAAUGAUGCCUUUUGACGCCUGUAUAGUACCUCAGUUGAAACGCUUUGACUACAAAGUGUCUGCUUAAGACCUAAUAAAAUUUGUAUCCAAUAUAAAAAGGAUAUUCAUAGGAAUAUCUGAAUUGAAUUUGUUUGAUGAAAUAUUUGUUUUUUCGCAAUUUGUUUAUACUUUAAAGCAUAUUUUCAGGGUUAAUUCAUAUGGAAAAUUCCAAAAUGAAGAGUUUAAGUUAUUACAAUUAUAACCCUGUCGCAUUUUUCUCAAUUCUUAAAACAUCCUAAUAAUUUCUGAAUUUAUAUACUUUUGUGUAACAUUUUUGAUUGCACAAGCUUUCAAGUACAAUAUUAUUCACUAUUUUUUAGUGCAAGAAGACUAUAAAAGAACAAUGACUUCUGCACUCCUACAAAAUAAAUUCAAAAUUGACAUAGGUUCUAAUGGUUCAAUUUUUACAUAUAUAAAUUACAU